CUCAAGUGCUUGACACAUGCUAAUCUAACGUCUAAUUUAAAUAUUAACAAAAGAAUAUUAUAUCUUUUAUAUAAUUUACACUAAUAUAUUUUAUAUAUCUUUUGAGAGGAUUUUUUUAUUAGAAGUGGUGUACAGGUGAGUAAAGGAUAUUUUGGCUACCUUAAAGUGAGGUUAAUAAAUGCCUUAUAUUUAUAUCUGGAAGAGGGUGAUCUUAUAAUAUAUAACUAGAUGUUUUCCUUAGCGGAAACCUUCGGUGUGUGCCCUAUCAAUAGGAGGCAAGGGCAGCCUAAGGUUUCUUUCUCAAGGAUGGUUGAAAAAAUAAAAUAAUUUUACCGCCGGCCAGUACUUUAAAGGAAAUAACGAAUAUUACACAGCAGAGGGGGGGUGGAGGCAAAGAGCUUCUUUUUACCCCCUCGGUCAAUAAGGCCGAGGGGGGGGGGGCUGUUUUAUUUUUUUCCGCUUUAAGAGGACAAUUAAUAUUUCGGAUAGGUAGUAGUUAAAGUAAUGGUUUUACUAGCUUAUAAUUCCGUAAUCGUAACUGAGAGGUUUAUCGAUCACAUUGGGUCUGAAAAAACCCCAAUACGUAUAGUACAGCAGUGGGGAAUAUUGGUCAAUAGCCUAACGGCUGAACCAGCAACUUGGG
rnacentral:ncRNA from 1 species